rnacentral:tRNA from 1 species
GGCCGGUUAGCUCAGUCAGUUAGAGUGCGGUGCUGAUAACACCAAGGCCGUGGGUUCGAUCCCUGUUCGGUCC